rfam:Helianthus annuus linkage group 17, whole genome shotgun sequence.
AUCUUUGCGCUUGGGCAAUGAUGUAACUAAUGAGGUAAUAAUAGAGGUGUGCCAAUUGUUGGUUGAAAACUAUUUUCAAACCCCGUCCUUGGCUUUGGGUUUCCCUUAGCCAUCAAGAAUUUCUAAAGGGACUCCUUUUACUAGUU